UACGGAGGGUGCGAGCGUUGUCCGGAAUCAUUGGGCGUAAAGGGCGCGUAGGUGGCUUCUCAAGCGUGCGGUGAAAGCCUGGGGCUCAACCCCGGGUCGGCCGUGCGAACUGGGGGGCUGGAGCACUGUAGAGGCAGGCGGAAUUCCGGGUGUAGCGGUGGAAUGCGUAGAGAUCCGGAAGAACACCGGUGGCGAAGGCGACCCGCUGGGCAACUGCUGACACUGAGGCGCGACAGCGUGGGGAGCAAACAGG
rnacentral:rRNA from 1 species